GGAUGUGAGGGUGAUCUGGCUACAACAUCUGCCACCCCAUUGAUUGCCAGGGUUGAUUCAGCUGAUCUGGCAGGCUAGGCAGUUGUCCCCUUCCUUUUUCACUACUCCAUGUGUGUCUCUCUCAAGAUCUUUAGGGGUGCCCCCUCCCCACUCUCUGUCACUCCCAAGAUGGUGGACCUGACCUCCAUGGAGAAACUACCCAGCCUCUGGAACUAGGAGAAUAAGG
rnacentral:snRNA from 1 species